UGGAAAUAAAUAUACUUGAGUCAUUAAUAUCAAUAUUUUAUAAAUCUAAAACGUAACUGUAGUAAAUACAUUUAUUUUUAAAACGACAUUUAUAAUUACGUACUCUUGUAAUAAUUGGAUGUCUUGUUUUAUUUUUGGCAUCGUUAAGUAAUGGUAGUUUAAGGUUUGAAUGCAACAAAUUUAAUUAGUUUCAACAUUAAUUAGUUUGAAACUGAUUUAGAUAUGUUUAUGGUUAUUUUAAUUGAUAGCAAAAACGAUAAAUGGUGAAAGUUAGGAUUAG
rnacentral:lncRNA from 1 species